AUUUGUGACAAUGCCACUUUGAAAGCACGACAUCUCGUCGGGUCUGUCAAGUUAAGCAACGUUGGGCCUGGUUAGUACUUGGAUCGGAGACGGCCUGGGAAUCCCAGGUGUUGUAGACA
rfam:Brugia malayi, FR3, WGS project CAPY01000000 data, contig: ctg1498018